UUCCAUAUAAUAAUUUUAGUCAGCAAUUGACCUUGAGUAACUCAAUUCUUUGAAAUCAAAACUGUGGAUAAGGUCAAUGUGGCUAAAUUCAGAUACAGGUCAUGCUUCCAUCACAGCAGAUAAAUUACAGUGGUGACAAUGAGUCCUGUAACAUUU